rnacentral:rRNA from 1 species
GCAGCGAGCGGUAGAGAGAAGCUUGCUUCUCUUGAGAGCGGCGGACGGGUGAGUAAUGCCUAAGGAAUCUGCCUGGUAGUGGGGGAUAACGUUCGGAAACGGACGCUAAUACCGCAUACGUCCUACGGGAGAAAGCAGGGGACCUUCGGGCCUUGCGCUAUCAGAUGAGCCUAGGUCGGAUUAGCUAGUUGGUGAGGUAAUGGCUCACCAAGGCGACGAUCCGUAACUGGUCUGAGAGGAUGAUCAGUCACACUGGAACUGAGACACGGUCCAGACUCCUACGGGAGGCAGCAGUGGGGAAUAUUGGACAAUGGGCGAAAGCCUGAUCCAGCCAUGCCGCGUGUGUGAAGAAGGUCUUCGGAUUGUAAAGCACUUUAAGUUGGGAGGAAGGGUUGUAGAUUAAUACUCUGCAAUUUUGACGUUACCGACAGAAUAAGCACCGGCUAACUCUGUGCCAGCAGCCGCGGUAAUACAGAGGGUGCAAGCGUUAAUCGGAAUUACUGGGCGUAAAGCGCGCGUAGGUGGUUUGUUAAGUUGGAUGUGAAAUCCCCGGGCUCAACCUGGGAACUGCAUUCAAAACUGACUGACUAGAGUAUGGUAGAGGGUGGUGGAAUUUCCUGUGUAACGGUGAAAUGCGUAGAUAUAGGAAGGAACACCAGUGGCGAAGCCGACCACCUGGACUAAUACUGACACUGAGGUGCGAAAG